UCCCAACCAAUCCAAUCUUGACAUAUGGCAUAACUUUAUGUAAAAGAGACUAAAUGGGCUGAAGAUGAAAAAAAAAUCAGAACACCUUCUUCUCUUCUUCUCCUUGACGUCAACCCCUCCGCCAUGGCCACCAUAAACAAACUUUUUCAAGCUUGAUUUCCCCUAGCUUUCUUCCACCAAAAACCCUAAUUGUCAACACAAAAACUUACUCUUACACCUUGGUGAUUCUUUUGAGAGCAAAAAGAAGAGGAAAACAAGAGCUUUAGCAAGUGGGAAAAUCUCACUCCAUAGAGGUUAGUGACCUAACCAUGAAUUUUACUUUAAAUUCAUGUUAAGGACUUUGAAUGAGUGUAAAUUACAAAGAAAAAUUGUUGAAUGCCGUUUGUAUGUAAACCCUAGAUUUUCGGCAGCCAUGGUUAGGGUUUGUUUGUGAUGAGUUUAAUGAAGUUAAAAGGUUAUUUGGCUGUCCUUAAUGUGCAUCUUGUAAGUGGAUUGAAGAAAUGCAAUGAAAAUGCAUGAAUGGUAAUGUUUGAGUUAGGGUUUGGG
rnacentral:misc_RNA from 1 species